CCUCCUAUCUGUAUAAAUUGAAGUGAUUCUUGAAAUCCUCGAUAUCAUUCUACAACUAAUCAAACAUGGACCAAAAACAUGAAAUGGCAGUAAGCAAGAUGCGGGAACUAGUGGAGACCCAAGGAAUUCCAACUCAGAAGUGUUUGGAUCAAACCUUUUUAAGAUUUCUGAAAGCAAAAUCAAUGAACCCAGAAAAGGCUGCAAGAUGUUUGUUGAACGGGAAAAAUGGAGGGAAGAAUUCGUUCCAUUAGGUUUCAUACCUGAGAGCGAAAUAGCAGAUCAAUUGGGUGAUAAAAAGAUUUACUUACAAGGCCUGACUAAAAUCGGACAACAUCCAUUUCUGAUCUGUAUAAGUAGCAGACACUUCACUUCAGCAUCCAAGGAUCCACUUCAAUUUAAGAUUCUUUCAAUGAGGGAAAAGAAAUAGGGAAUGAAAAGAUAAUGGCAGCCGUGGAUUUAAAAAGUUUCCCUUAUAAGAGUAUUGACGCCCGUGGUUUCACUAUUACCUUCAACCUUCUGAAGGCUUACUAUCCCGCGAGACUAGGAAAAAUGUAUGUUAAAUGCCCC